UACAGAGGUCUCAAGCGUUGUUCGGAAUCACUGGGCGUAAAGGGUGCGUAGGCCGCACGGUAAGUCAGAUGUGAAAGCCCGGAGCUCAACUCCGGAACUGCAUCCGAUACUGCCGUGCUUGAGGACUGGAGAGGAGUCUGGAAUUCACAGUGGAGCAGUGAAAUGCGUAGAUAUUGUGAGGAACACUAGUGGCGAAGGCGAGACUCUGGACAGUUCCUGACGCUGAGGCACGAAGGCCAGGGAGCAAACGGG
rnacentral:rRNA from 1 species